AUUGAACGCUGGCGGCAUGCCCUACACAUGCAAGUCGAACGGUAACGGGCCUUCGGGUGCCGACGAGUGGCGAACGGGUGAGUAAUACAUCGGAACGUGCCCGAUCGUGGGGGAUAACGAGGCGAAAGCUUUGCUAAUACCGCAUACGAUCUACGGAUGAAAGCAGGGGACCGCAAGGCCUUGCGCGGACGGAGCGGCCGAUGGCAGAUUAGGUAGUUGGUGGGAUAAAAGCUUACCAAGCCGACGAUCUGUAGCUGGCCUGAGAGGAUGAUCAGCCACACUGGGACUGAGACACGGCCCAGACUCCUACGGGAGGCAGCAGUGGGGAAUUUUGGACAAAGGGCGCAAGCCUGAUCCAGCCAUGCCGCGUGCAGGAUGAAGGCCUUCGGGUUGUAAACUGCUUUUGUACGGAACGAAAAGCCUUCUUUUAAUACAGGAGGGUCAUGACGGUACCGUAAGAAUAAGCACCGGCUAACUACGUG
rnacentral:rRNA from 1 species